rnacentral:rRNA from 1 species
AUUGAACGCUGGCGGCAGGCCUAACACAUGCAAGUCGAACGAGUGGCGGACGGGUGAGUAAUGUCUGGGAAACUGCCUGAUGGAGGGGGAUAACUACUGGAAACGGUAGCUAAUACCGCAUACCAUCGGAUGUGCCCAGAUGGGAUUAGCUAGUAGGUGGGGUAAAGGCUCACCUAGGCGACGAUCCCUAGCUGGUCUGAGAGGAUGACCAGCCACACUGGAACGGAGACACGGUCCAGACUCCUACGGGAGGCAGCAGUGGGGAAUAUUGCACAAUGGGCGCAAGCCUGAUGCAGCCAUGCCGCGUGUAUGAAGAAGGCCUUCGGGUUGUAAAGUACUUUCAGCGGGGAGGCGUUACCGGCAGAAGAAGCGCCGGCGAACUCCGUGCCAGCCGCCGCGGUAAUUC